UGUAAGCUGCAACUCGCCUACACGAAGCUGGAAUCGCUAGUAAUCGCGGAUCAGCACGCCGCGGUGAAUACGUUCCCGGGCCUUGUACACACCGCCCGUCACACCAUGGAAGUCUGCAAUGCCCGAAGCCGGUGGCCUAACCACUUAUGUGGAAGGAGCCGUCUAAGGCAGGGCAGAUGACUGGGGUGAAGUCGUAACAAGGUAAC
rnacentral:rRNA from 1 species